CACGUUGGACCGUCCUCUUUCAAUGAGACAUAUUGGACCAUCACUCCGUUCAAAGUGACAUGUUACAUUCAAAAUAAGUCGUCCGCCUUUCAAUGAGACACGUUGGACCGUCACUCUGUUCAAAGUGGUAUAUUACAUCCAAAAUAGAUCGUUCGCCUUUCAAUGAGACAUGUUGGAUUCUCACUCCGUUCAAAGUGACAUGUUACAUUCGAAAUAGGUCGUUCGCCUUUCAAUGAGACACGUUGGACUGUCACUUCGUUCAAAGUGACAUGCUACAUCCAGAAUAGGUCGUCCACCUUUCAAUGAGACAUGUUAGACCGUCAGUCCGUUCAAAGUGACAUGUUAUAUUCCAAGAUAGGCCAUCCGCAUUUCAAUGAAAUAUGUUGGACCGUCUCUCCUUUCAAAGUGACAUGUUAAAUCCAAAAUAGGUCUUCUGCCUUUCAAUGAGACACGUUGGACUGUCACUCCGUUCAAAGUGAUAUGUUAUAUCCAAAAUAGGUCGUUCGCCUUUCAAUGAGAUACGUUGGACCAUGACUCCAUUCAAAGUGAUAUUUUACAUUCAAAAUAGGUCGUCCGUCUUUCAAUGAGACAUAUUGGAUCUUCACUCCGUUUAAAGUAACAUGUUACAUCCAAGAUAGGUCGCCCACCUUUCAAUGAGACACAUUAGACUGUCGAGAAAAAUUGGUUACAUGUUAACAUUUUCGUUUGAAGACUUCUACAUUAUCUUCAAAUACAAAGGGGCAAGUUGUUGAUACCCAAUUUCAGCUUUUCAUAACUGGCAAAAAAUGCAAUUUUCACACAUUUUUUGCAAUUGUUGAUAAAUUAUUGAUAAUCAUAAUUAUUUUAGAAUUUUUACUCAUUUAUUGUCAUAUUUUAAAAUUUUAUAAAUUUUAGACUUUUUAUCAGUGUAUUAUUAUUGUUGCACAUUAAUUUGCUACAUACACAGCACAACACUGUAAUUUUCACUGCACAGUAUAAUUUUAAUAAUUUAUAACAUAAUAUAUUUUUAAAUAUAACUUUUUUUAUUGUUGUUGUUUAUAUUCUUCUAUAUUUAUACAUCGGCAUCCAUAUUUUUGUAUAUUAUUUAAUACGAUUCAUAAAUGUGAGUCAAUUUUAAUACACAUUAUAAUAAUAAAUUCAGUGUAUUUAUUUAUAGGCAAAAAAUUAUCUUCAGUAAUGCAUUGCUUACCUAUAUUGAGGUUGCAAUUCAACAUUGAUAGCUGAUGAAUAUUUGUACAGAUUUUCUUCUUCGAAAAGGUUGAAAAAAACUUACCAAAAUUUGAAACAUUGGCCAAGCAUUUAUGGGAUGGAUCCACACUUUUCAUCAUUUUUCUUUUCCUUUUAAACACUACACAUACAACAUAAAGAAAAAAGAAAAGGUUCUCUCCUAUCUCACUUUCUCUCUCUUAGUUUACUCUCUUUUUCUUUUCUCUUUACUGUCAUCCACCCCACAAUAUUUCCCUUGCAUUUUCCUAUAAAACAAAGAACAAGCAACAACAACAAGCCUCCUCCAUUUUUUUUUUUUUACAUUUUCAUAAACAACAAUUACUCCCUCCACUAAUCUCCAGAUCCCGCUAGCCACUAGAUUCAGCCACCAUUGUCAAACCAGAUCCGGCGACCUCCCUGGCAAACACACUCCAGAUCCAGUAGCCCGCUACCCCCACUGAAAGUAAUAUUAUGUUGUUUAAUUUUCUUAGUGAUUUUAUUUUUUUGUGAUAUAUUGGUAUUGUUUUAUCUGUGCAAAAAUAUUUUUUUUGGGGCAAUGAUAUUAUCUUUUCGUCAGAUAUUUGAGGCCACCUCAUUACAAAAGACGAAUUUUAUUUUUCAAGUUAUUUAUUCUUUUUUAAAAAAUAGACAUUUCGCCAGUGUUAUUCUCCUGAAAUUUUGCUCGUUUUGGCUUUGUCUGUUCUUUGAUGUUGUUUGUUGUUGGUGGUAUAGUGUUUUGAAAAUAUUGUUGCUUACUUUAUCAUUAUGCUUAGGUUGCUUACUUUAUCAUUAUGUUUAGGUUGGUACUUCCUCUACUGUAGUUUGAUUGACUAAAAAAUAUUUUUCAAAUGAUGUCUCUUUUGUUAUUUUUUGGUACCGGUAGUUAUGAAUUAUUGUUUACUGUUCUACUUGGUUACUGUUCCUUUACAAUUUUUUUUAGAUCAUUUUGUCUCUCGUAUUAUUUACACUAAUAAUAAAAUAAAUAUUUUGGGCAAUGAUGAAAUUGUUAUAACUUUUUUGAAAAUUUUACCUGAGCCCGCUUUUUAAUAAAAAUUAUAUUUUUUAAUACAUAUAUGUGCACAUGCCUUAUUAUAAUUAUUUCUUUGUUACUAAUAUUUUUACUAUAAGUGUUUGUACAGGUUCUCGGGAAUACUUGUCGAAAAGGACACUCAAAAGAGAGUUCAACCUUAUUUUAUGUUUGUAUUUUUUUAUUCUUAUAGUUGUACAAAUAUUGUCAUAGUGAAACUUUAUUUUUUGAGGCGUUGGGCGGGGAUGUUCUUUAUUUACGCAAUCUUUAACACACGUGUAGGCAAAUUUAGGCCUCCUAUAUUUAUAUUAAAUUGAUUUAGACAUCUAAUCAAAUAAUUCUCAAUUUUUACACUAAAAACAUUACGUAAUCUUUUCUUUUAAAUAAAUUUUCUUUUAUUCAAUCUUUAUUUUUCUUUUCAUAUACAUUCUUAUAUAUUUUUUUUAUUUACAUAUUUUCAUAUACUUUUAUACAUAGUUUUACUAUAAUAUAGAUAAUUUGUACAUCUUUUAUACAUAAAUUAUUUACAUCAUUUUAAUACACUUUUUUUAUUUGUAUAUACACAUAGAUUUUUUUUUAUCUAUUAAUAAACCUAAGUCUGGCCGGGAACCACAUGUGUGGAUUCUGAAGGGUGCCUAAUACCUCUCCUUCGGAAUAAUUUGAACCCGUACUUAGAAUCUAAACUGGUUCGUAGAUUAAAACACAAGUCAUACAUGUUAAUAAAUAUGUUUCCUUUUUUUUCUUAAAAAUUAGGUGGCGACUCUGUACAUAAUUAAUUCUUUUUUUUAGAGUCCAUAAGUUGUGCUUGUUUUAUUAGGUAAAAAUCGGGUAUGACAUAUAUAUGUACUCAAAGUAUAACGGGGGUAUAUACAUACCAUUUAUCAUAGUUCGAGGGUAUAUUUAUACUUUUUCUGAUUUAAGAAAAAGAACAUUUGCAUUAAAGUUUAAUAAUGUAUGAUAUAUUUUAGUGAACAUUUAAAUAUUUUAACUAUAUCUUAGCAAUGGUAAGAGAAAAUAGUCAAAGGAGAAUUGAUUUGGUUGCUUGAGAAAAGAAAAAAGGAAAAAGAAAACGUGCAUUAAAAUUGACAAUAUCUAAUAUAUUUUUUAAAUAUCUAAAUUAUUUCUUAAACAAGAAUAUAUAUAUAUAUAUAUAUACAUAUAUAUGUGUGUGUGUGUAAAAUAACAGAUGGGGAACUGAUUUGGUAGCUUGAGAAAAGAAAACAAGAAUCAGAAAAUGUGCAUUAAAAUUGACAAUAUUCGAUAUAUUUUAUUAUUGUUUUACUAAUCACGCGAAAUGCAAAUAAAAUUACUAGUCUAUUUAAUAAGAAUGCAUUUGAUGAGGGUUUGAUAGAUUAUAGUUAGAGUCAUGAUUGAUUAACUUUCUUUAAUAUUAAAAUAUAAAAAUUUAGUAUAGGUUUUACAAUUUUAAAAGAACUUAAAAUUGAAUUUUGACUUCAAAACUUAACUAGUAUUUGACCAUAAAUUUUUAAAUAUUUUUAGCAAGUAAUUUUUGAGCGAAGAUAUGAGCGAAGUUAAAUCAUUUUUUUGGUCAAUUUCACCUUAUUAAAGUUUUAAAAAAAAUAAAAUUUAACUCAAAUAUUAAUUUUUUUCUAGUAUCUAGAAACUUAAAUUAUUUGUGAAAGGCAUUUUUCAAAUAAGCACAAUUCGGUCAUAUCAUAUGUCAAAGGCUUUUUUUUUUUUUUGGUCAAUGGACAAACGGAUCCUUAAUAUUUUUCUAAAUUUUGAAUUUUCAUCAGAAGUUAAACAAGUGUUGUGACAGCCAAACAAAUUUUACGAAAACUACUUCCCCACCCUACUACUUUCCCUUUAACUUUUGAGAAAGGUAGGGAUUGUGUAUGCAAGGUUUUCGGGUGGAAAUGGGUGAAGUGCCGGUGUUUGCUGAGACCAAUCUAAGCACUCGCAUUGUUCUGCUUGUAUCUCCCUACGCUACAGCAAACCACUUCAACAGAGAAGUAGAAAGGGCUCACUUGAAUUGUUUCCCACAACUGGGGCAGAUCAAAGUGGAUGCUCUCAUGGCACAAACUCAAAAUGCAGAAGAAGAAGAAGAAGAAAAGUGGAGAAGAUGAAAAGAUUAGCCUGCCUUAAAGAUCUACUUUUAAGAAUUCUUCAUUUAUCAAAAAAGAAGAAGAAAAUGAAGAAGAAAAUAAAUAAAGUCUGCCUAGAAGAACUUGAUGAGCUUCUAGGUGGAUGUGAUGGUGAGGAACCGAGAACCUCUCCAUCAGAUUUAUCUGAAGCUGUUUCAGUUUCGGGCAUUAUCAGGAAUUCUCAUCAAUGAGAUCAUGCGUUGCUCUCUCCUUUUCCAGCCAAAACACCUCUGCAAAGAGUUAGUAAUACCUCAACAACGAAGUCCAAAGGGAUUGAAAUUGGAAGUUGUAUUGUUUUCGCCUCAUAAAGUCUCUCUAGUCUCCGCAAUAGGAGACUGCUGCCCAGUCAUGUUUCUCUUCAUCCAAGUCUAGUAUUUGAUAUUUCUGACGAGGAUUAGUGAAAAUGGAACUUACAAUACAUACCACCAUGAGAAAUUACUUAACAGCAUUGCUGAUGGAAGGAUUUGAUCUGAGGCAGCAGUACUAAAAUGUUACGUAACAACGCAGAAAUGAACUUCUCAUCUUUCUACUGAACUCCUUUCCAUUUACAAUCUUCAGCUUUUAGGCUUUGGUGGCUGAGUUGGCAAAGACAAUGCUAAACGUAGCUUCACUACUGGAGAAGAUCUUCACUCGUAGAUUUGAAAGGCUGCUAUCAGGAUUUGUCGUCUAUUCCGAACUGUUGCGUCUCAGAUAUAAAAAAUCAUAUCCCUUUCUCGCCUCAUGCUGUAUAGAUGUAAAAGAUUAAUCAGUGUUUCUACAAGGUUGAUGGAAUUACCUAGGCAUUAUGGUUCAUUCGAAGGCAUUAAUCAGUGUUUCUAAAAUUUGGUAUCAAAGCCUAUGUUGUUUAAAGUUACGGAAGUGGUAUAUAUGUGGAAUAGUAUAUAUUUGGAUAAUAUAAAACUAAAUUU